AGAAUUGAUCUGGUCAGGAUGAACGCUGGCGGCGUGCUUAACACAUGCAAGUCGAACGAAGCUCUUUGAUCGGAGGAUUCGUCCAAAGUGAUGAGAUGACUUAGUGGCGGACGGGUGAGUAACGCGUGGGUAACCUGCCGUAUGCAGGGGGACAACAGUUGGAAACGACUGCUAAUACCGCAUAAGCGCACGGGAUUGCAUGAUCCAGUGUGAAAAGAUUUAUCGGCAUACGAUGGACCCGCGUCUGAUUAGCUAGUUGGUGAGGUAACGGCCCACCAAGGCGACGAUCAGUAGCCGGCCUGAGAGGGUGAACGGCCACAUUGGGACUGAGACACGGCCCAAACUCCUACGGGAGGCAGCAGUGGGGAAUAUUGCACAAUGGGGGAAACCCUGAUGCAGCGACGCCGCGUGAGUGAAGAAGUAUUUCGGUAUGUAAAGCUCUAUCAGCAGGGAAGAAAAUGACGGUACCUGACUAAGAAGCCCCGGCUAACUACGUGCCAGCAGCGGC
rnacentral:rRNA from 1 species